rnacentral:rRNA from 1 species
GGCAGCAGUAGGGAAUCUUCCGCAAUGGGCGAAAGCCUGACGGAGCAACGCCGCGUGAGUGAUGAAGGUCUUCGGAUCGUAAAACUCUGUUAUUAGGGAAGAACAUAUGUGUAAGUAACUGUGCACAUCUUGACGGUACCUAAUCAGAAAGCCACGGCUAACUACGUGCCAGCAGCCGCGGUAAUACGUAGGUGGCAAGCGUUAUCCGGAAUUAUUGGGCGUAAAGCGCGCGUAGGCGGUUUUUUAAGUCUGAUGUGAAAGCCCACGGCUCAACCGUGGAGGGUCAUUGGAAACUGGAAAACUUGAGUGCAGAAGAGGAAAGUGGAAUUCCAUGUGUAGCGGUGAAAUGCGCAGAGAUAUGGAGGAACACCAGUGGCGAAGGCGACUUUCUGGUCUGUAACUGACGCUGAUGUGCGAAAGCGUGGGGAUCAAACAGGAUUAGAUACCCUGGUAGUCCACGCCGUAAACGAUGAGUGCUAAGUGUUAGGGGGUUUCCGCCCCUUAGUGCUGCAGCUAACGCAUUAAGCACUCCGCCUGGGGAGUACGACCGCAAGGUUGAAACUCAAAGGAAUUGACGGGGACCCG